AACGAACGCUGGCGGCAGGCCUAACACAUGCAAGUCGAACGCCCUAGCAAUAGGGAGUGGCAGACGGGUGAGUAACACGUGGGAACGUGCCCUUCGGUUCGGAGUAACUCAGGGAAACUUGAGCUAAUACCGGAUACGUGCGAGAGCAGAAAGAUUUAUCGCCGAAGGAUCGGCCCGCGUCCGAUUAGCUAGUUGGUGAGGUAAUGGCUCACCAAGGCGACGAUUGGUAGCUGGUCUGAGAGGAUGACCAGCCACACUGGGACUGAGACACGGCCCAGACUCCUACGGGAGGCAGCAGUGGGGAAUAUUGGACAAUGGGCGCAAGCCUGAUCCAGCCAUGCCGCGUGAGUGAUGAAGGCCCUAGGGUUGUAAAGCUCUUUCGCCAGGGACGAUAAUGACGGUACCUGGAUAAGAAGCCCCGGCUAACUUCGUGCCAGCCGCCGCAGUAA
rnacentral:rRNA from 1 species